CCGCGAUUCGCCCUUCGGGGUGCCCAGGCGCGAAAACUUUACAAUGCCGGCAACGGCGAUAAGGGAACCUCGAGUGCCAGGUUACAAAUCUGGCUGUCGUGAUGCCUAAAAAGUAUUGCAUAGCAAGGGCCGGGCAAGACCGGUGCCAGCCGCCGCGGUAACACCGGCGGCUCGAGUGGUAACCGUUAUUAUUGGGUCUAAAGGGUCUGUAGCCGGCCGGAUAAGUCUCUUGGGAAAUCUGGCAGCUUAACUGUCAGGCUUUCAGGAGAUACUGUCUGGCUCGAGGCCGGGAGAGGUGAGAGGUACUUCAGGGGUAGGGGUGAAAUCUUGUAAUCCUUGAAGGACCACCAGUGGCGAAGGCGUCUCACCAGAACGGACCUGACGGCAAGGGACGAAAGCUAGGGGCACGAACCGGAUUAGAUACCCGGGUAGUCCUAGCCGUAAACGAUACUCGCUAGGUGUCGGCCACGGUGCGACCGUGGUCGGUGCCGUAGGGAAGCCGUGAAGCGAGCCACCUGGGAAGUACGGCCGCAAGGCUGAAACUUAAAGGAAUUGGCGGGGGAGC
rnacentral:rRNA from 1 species